rnacentral:rRNA from 1 species
GCGAACGCUGGCGGCAGGCUUAACACAUGCAAGUCGAGCGGGCCCUUCGGGGUCAGCGGCGGACGGGUGAGUAACGCGUGGGAACGUGCCUUCUGGUCUGGAAUAACCCUGGGAAACUAGGGCUAAUACCGGAUACGCCCUUUUGGGGAAAGGUUUACUGCCGGAAGAUCGGCCCGCGUCUGAUUAGCUAGUUGGUGGGGUAACGGCCUACCAAGGCGACGAUCAGUAGCUGGUCUGAGAGGAUGAUCAGCCACACUGGGACUGAGACACGGCCCAGACUCCUACGGGAGGCAGCAGUGGGGAAUAUUGGACAAUGGGCGCAAGCCUGAUCCAGCCAUGCCGCGUGAGUGAUGAAGGCCUUAGGGUUGUAAAGCUCUUUUAUCCGGGACGAUAAUGACGGUACCGGAGGAAUAAGCCCCGGCUAACUUCGUG